UACGUAGGGUGCAAGCGUUAAUCGGAAUUACUGGGCGUAAAGCGUGCGCAGGCGGUUUGGUAAGACAGAUGUGAAAUCCCCGGGCUUAACCUGGGAAUGGCAUUUGGGACUGCAAGGCUCGAGUGCGGCAGAGGAGACUGGAAUUCCUGGUGUAGCAGUGAAAUGCGUAGAUAUCAGGAGGAACACCGAUGGCGAAGGCAGGUCUCUGGGCUGACACUGACGCUCAUGCACGAAAGCGUGGGGAGCAAACAGG
rnacentral:rRNA from 1 species